AGUCGAACGUGAAAGCACUUCGGUGUGAGUAGAGUGGCGGACGGGUGAGUAACGCGUGGGAAUCUACCCAGUAGUGGGGGACAACUACCGGAAACGGUAGCUAAUACCGCAUACGCCCUAUGGGGGAAAGGCUUCGGCCGCUAUUGGAUGAGCCCGCGUCAGAUUAGCUAGUUGGUAGGGUAAAGGCCUACCAAGGCUACGAUCUGUAGCUGGUCUGAGAGGACGAACAGCCACACUGGGACUGAGACACGGCCCAGACUCCUACGGGAGGCAGCAGUGGGGAAUAUUGGACAAUGGGCGAAAGCCUGAUCCAGCAAUGCCGCGUGUGUGAAGAAGGCCUGCGGGUUGUAAAGCACUUUCAGUUGGGAAGAUGAUGACGUUACCAACAGAAGAAGCACCGGCUAAAUCCGUGCCAGCAGCCGCGGUAAUACGGAUGGUGCGAGCGUUAAUCGGAAUUACUGGGCGUAAAGCGCGCGUAGGCGGCUAAGUCAGUCAGAAGUGAAAGCCCCGGGCUCAACCUGGGAAUUGCUUUUGAUACUGCUUAGCUAGAGUUUGGUAGAGGAUAGUGGAAUUCCAGGUGUAGCGGUGAAAUGCGUAGAUAUCUGGAGGAACAUCAGUGGCGAAGGCGACUGUCUGGACCAAAACUGACGCUGAGGUGCGAAAGCGUGGGUAGCAAACAGGAUUAGAUACCCUGGUAGAAGGGC
rnacentral:rRNA from 1 species